ACAAAAAAUAGAGCUAUGAUAUUACAGUUAAUACGGUUUUUAAUUCAUGUUGAGCCAUAAAGCCAUAGAUAGAUGUGAUGAGCACCACACAGCAUCGGAUUGGCAAGUGUACAGAGUGGAUGAGUGAGUGGAGGGAGGAGGGGAACACCGCUUGUUUAGGUGGAUGGGGGCAGGACAGAGGGAGGGAAGGCAGGACAGAUGAGUGGAGGGAGGAGGGGAACAUGGCUUGUUUAGGUGGAUGGGGGCAGGACAGAGGGAGGGAAGGCAGGACAGAUGAGUGGAGGGAGGAGGGGAACAUGGCUUGUUUAGGUGGAUGGGGGCAGGACAGAGGGAGGGAAGGCAGGACAGAUGAGUGGAGGGAGGAGGGGAACAUGGCUUGUUUAGGUGGAUGGGGGCAGGACAGAGGGAGGGAAGGCAGGACAGAUGAGUGGAGGGAGGAGGGGAACAUGGCUUGUUUAGGUGGAUGGGGGCAGGACAGAGGGAGGGAAGGCAGGACAGUUGAGUGGAGGGAGGAGGGGAACAUGGCUUGUUUAGGUGGAUGGGGGCAGGACAGAGGGAGGGAAGGCAGGACAGAUGAGUGGAGGGAGGAGGGGAACAUGGCUUGUUUAGGUGGAUGGGGGCAGGACAGAGGGAGGGAAGGCAGGACAGAUGAGUGGAGGGAGGAGGGGAACAUGGCUUGUUUAGGUGGAUGGG